GGCCGCCUGGCGAAAUGGCAUCGCGUCUGACUACGACUUUAUAGUACAUUCAAGAGAUUGUAGGUUCGACCCCUGUGGUGGUCA
rfam:Sphaerobolus stellatus SS14 unplaced genomic scaffold SPHSTscaffold_780, whole genome shotgun sequence.